UACGUAGGGGGCAAGCGUUGUCCGGAUUUAUUGGGCGUAAAGAGCGCGCAGGCGGUCGUACAAGUCGCGUGUGAAAGCCCCCGGCUCAACUGGGGAGGGUCCCGCGAUACUGUUCGACUCGAAGGCAGGAGAGGGUAGUGGAAUUCCCGGUGUAGUGGUGAAAUGCGUAGAUAUCGGGAGGAACACCAGUGGCGAAGGCGACUACCUGGCUUGUUCUUGACGCUGAGGCGCGAAAGCUAGGGGAGCAAACGGG
rnacentral:rRNA from 1 species